rnacentral:rRNA from 1 species
AACGAACGCUGGCGGCAUGCCUAACACAUGCAAGUCGAACGAUACCUUCGGGUCUAGUUGCGCACGUGUGCGUAACGCGCGAGAACCUGCCCUUAACUUGGGAAUCACUCCCCGAACGGGGGGCUAAUACCGGGUAAUUUUUGCUGACCAAGGAUUUGUCGCCUUUGUAUCGGGAUGGGUUGGGGUAGAUAGUUGUUAGGGUAAGGGCCUACCAAGGCGGCGAUCCAUAGCUGGGCUGGGAGGAUGAACAGCCACGCUGGGACUGAGACGCGGCCCAGACUACUACUGGAGGAUGGGGUGGGGAAUGAUGGAGCGUGGGCGAGAGCGUGAUGGAGCCAUGCCGCGUGAGUGACGAAGGCGUUAGGGAAGUAGAGCUGUUUUAUCUGUGAUGAUGAUGACGGUAGCGGGAGAAUAAGCGCCGGCUAACUCCGUG